rfam:Chryseobacterium indologenes strain CI_885 contig_12, whole genome shotgun sequence.
GAGUACAUAGUUCAACAAGAAGAAUACGUCCGCAGCAUGGACGAGGUUGCAGGUUCAAAUCCUGCUGUACUCC